CUGCUGCCUUCCGUAGGAGUUUGGGCCGUGUCUCAGUCCCAAUGUGGCCGUCCACCCUCUCAGGCCGGCUACUGAUCGUCGCCCUGGUGGGCCGUUACCCCGCCAACAAGCUAAUCAGACGCGGGUCCAUCUUACACCACCGGAGUUUUUCACACAAAUCCAUGCGGCUUCGUGCGCUUAUGCGGUAUUAGCACCUAUUUCUAAGUGUUAUCCCCCAGUGUAAGGCAGGUUACCCACGCGUUACUCACCCGUCCGCCACUAAGUA
rnacentral:rRNA from 1 species